rnacentral:tRNA from 3 species
AGGAAGGUUCCGUUAUAGGUAAGGUGGGUUGAGCUGUAAACUCAAUAGCGAUAAGCUUUUAAAGGUUCGAGUCCUUUUCUUCCUA